rnacentral:rRNA from 1 species
UACAGAGGGUGCGAGCGUUAAUCGGAAUUACUGGGCGUAAAGGGUGCGUAGGUGGUUUGUUAAGUUAGAUGUGAAAGUCCUGGGCUUAACCUGGGGAUUGCAUUUAAUACUGGCGAGCUAGAGUACUGUAGAGGGAUGCGGAAUUCCAGGUGUAGCGGUGAAAUGCGUAGAUAUCAGGAAGAACACCGAUUGCGUAGGCAGCUUACUAGGCUGUAACUGACGCUGAGGCACGAAAGCGUGGGGAGCGAACAGG